GAUGAAGAACGUAGCGAAAUGCGAUAAGUAAUGCGAAUUGCAGAAUUUCCGUGAGUCAUCGAAUCUUUGAACGCACAUUGCGCCCGCCAGUAUUCUGGCGGGCAUGCCUGUUCGAGCGUCAUUUCAACCAUCAAGCCCCCGGGCUUGUGUUGGGGACCUGCGGCUGCCGCAGGCCCUGAAAAGCAGUGGCGGGCUCGCUGUCACACCGAGCGUAGUAGAUUUUAUCUCGCUCUGGGCGUGCUGCGGGUUCCGGCCGGUAAACCACCCUUUUGACCCAAGGUUGACCUCGGAUCAGGUAGGAAGACCCGCUGAACUUAAGCAUAUCAAUAAGCGGAGGA
rnacentral:misc_RNA from 1 species